UGCAGUCGCGUGCGCAGUUCCCGUAGCAAUACGGGGAUGGGCGCACGGCGCACGGGUGCGUAACACGUGGGCAAUCUGCCCUCCGGCGGGGAAUAACCCCGCGAAAGCGGGGCUAAUUCCGCAUAACAUUCCGGGGACCUCGGUUCCUGGAUUCAAAGCAGUGAUGCGUCGGAGGAGGAGCCCGCGCCCGAUUAGCUAGUUGGUGAGGUAACGGCUCACCAAGGCAAUGAUCGGUAGCUGGUCUGAGAGGAUGGCCAGCCACACUGGAACUGAGACACGGUCCAGACUCCUACGGGAGGCCGUGGGGAAUCUUGCCAAUGGGAGAAAGCCUGAGCAGCGACGCCGCGUGGGGGAUGAAGCUUCUCGGAGGUAAACCCCUUUCACUGGACAAUGCCCCAAGGGAGUGACGGUACCAGAAAGAAGCCCCGGCUAAUACGUGCCGCGCCGCGGUAAGACGUAGGGGGCCAGCGUUUCGAGUUAUGGGUGUAGAGGGUCGGAGCGGUGGCAAUGUUGGAGUGAGAUCUCUGGUAACCGAGCUGCUUCGAAUUGUGU
rnacentral:rRNA from 1 species